rnacentral:rRNA from 1 species
UUUAUGGAGAGUUUGAUCCUGGCUCAGAGUGAACGCUGGCGGCGUGCCUAAUACAUGCAAGUCGAACGAUGAAGCUUCUAGCUUGCUAGAAGUGGAUUAGUGGCGCACGGGUGAGUAACGCAUAGGUCAUGUGCCUCUUAGUUUGGGAUAGCCAUUGGAAACGAUGAUUAAUACCAGAUACUCCCUACGGGGGAAAGAUUUAUCGCUAAGAGAUCAGCCUAUGUCCUAUCAGCUUGUUGGUAAGGUAAUGGCUUACCAAGGCUAUGACGGGUAUCCGGCCUGAGAGGGUGAACGGACACACUGGAACUGAGACACGGUCCAGACUCCUACGGGAGGCAGCAGUAGGGAAUAUUGCUCAAUGGGGGAAACCCUGAAGCAGCAACGCCGCGUGGAGGAUGAAGGUUUUAGGAUUGUAAACUCCUUUUGUUAGAGAAGAUAAUGACGGUAUCUAACGAAUAAGCACCGGCUAACUCCGUGCCAGCAGCCGCGGUAAUACGGAGGGUGCAAGCGUUACUCGGAAUCACUGGGCGUAAAGAGCGCGUAGGCGGGAUAGUCAGUCAGGUGUGAAAUCCUAUGGCUUAACCAUAGAACUGCAUUUGAAACUACUAUUCUAGAGUGUGGGAGAGGUAGGUGGAAUUCUUGGUGUAGGGGUAAAAUCCGUAGAGAUCAAGAGGAAUACUCAUUGCGAAGGCGACCUGCUAGAACAUUACUGACGCUGAUUGCGCGAAAGCGUGGGGAGCAAACAGGAUUAGAUACCCUGGUAGUCCACGCCCUAAACGAUGGAUGCUAGUUGUUGGAGGGCUUAGUCUCUCCAGUAAUGCAGCUAACGCAUUAAGCAUCCCGCCUGGGGAGUACGGUCGCAAGAUUAAAACUCAAAGGAAUAGACGGGGACCCGCACAAGCGGUGGAGCAUGUGGUUUAAUUCGAGGAUACACGAAGAACCUUACCUAGGCUUGACAUUGAGAGAAUCCGCUAGAAAUAGUGGAGUGUCUAGCUUGCUAGACCUUGAAAACAGGUGCUGCACGGCUGUCGUCAGCUCGUGUCGUGAGAUGUUGGGUUAAGUCCCGCAACGAGCGCAACCCCCUUUCUUAGUUGCUAACAGGUUAUGCUGAGAACUCUAAGGAUACUGCCUCCGUAAGGAGGAGGAAGGUGGGGACGACGUCAAGUCAUCAUGGCCCUUACGCCUAGGGCUACACACGUGCUACAAUGGGGUGCACAAAGAGAAGCAAUACUGCGAAGUGGAGCCAAUCUUCAAAACACCUCUCAGUUCGGAUUGUAGGCUGCAACUCGCCUGCAUGAAGCUGGAAUCGCUAGUAAUCGCAAAUCAGCCAUGUUGCGGUGAAUACGUUCCCGGGUCUUGUACUCACCGCCCGUCACACCAUGGGAGUUGUGUUUGCCUUAAGUCAGGAUGCUAAAUUGGCUACUGCCCACGGCACACACAGCGACUGGGGUGAAGUCGUAACAAGGUAACCGUAGGUGAACCUGCGGUUGGAUCACCUCCUUU